GAUGAACGCUGGCGGCGUGCCUAAUACAUGCCAGUCGAGCGAACGGACGAGAAGCUUGCUUCUCUGAUGUUAGCGGCGGACGGGUGAGUAACACGUGGAUAACCUACCUAUAAGACUGGGAUAACUUCGGGAAACCGGAGCUAAUACCGGAUGAUAUUUUGAACCGCAUGGUUCAAAAGUGAAAGACGGUCUUGCUGUCACUUAUAGAUGGAUCCGCGCUGCAUUAGCUAGUUGGUAAGGUAACGGCUUACCAAGGCAACGAUGCAUAGCCGACCUGAGAGGGGGAUCGGCCACACUGGAACUGAGACACGGUCCAGACUCCUACGGGAGGCAGCAGUAGGGAAUCUUCCGCAAUGGGCGAAAGCCUGACGGAGCAGCGCCGCGUGAGUGAUGAAGGUCUUCGGAUCGUAAAACUCUGUUAUUAGGGAAAAACAUAUGUGUAAGUAACUGUGCACAUCUUGACGGUACCUAAUCAGAAAGCCACGGCUAACUACGUG
rnacentral:rRNA from 1 species